rnacentral:rRNA from 1 species
UAAAAGGGUUUUCCGUAGGUGACCUGCGGAGGUCAUUACCGAGUUGAUUCGAGCUCCGGCUCGACUCUCCCACCUUAAGUGUACCUACCUCUGUUGCUUUGGCGGGCCGCGGUCCUCCGCACCGGCGCCCUUCGGGGGGCUGGCCAGCGCCCGCCAGAGGACCAUAAAACUCCAGUCAGUGAACUUCGCAGUCUGAAAAACAAGUUAAUAAACUAAAACUUUCAACAACGGAUCUCUUGGUUCUGGCAUCGAUGAAGAACGCAGCGAAAUGCGAUAAGUAAUGUGAAUUGCAGAAUUCAGUGAAUCAUCGAAUCUUUGAACGCACAUUGCGCCCCUUGGUAUUCCGAGGGGCAUGCCUGUUCGAGCGUCAUUUCAACCCUCAAGCUCUGCUUGGUAUUGGGCCCCGUCCUCCACGGACGCGCCUUAAAGACCUCGGCGGUGGCGUCUUGCCUCAAGCGUAGUAGAAAACACCUCGCUUUGGAGCGCACGGCGUCGCCCGCCGGACGAACCUUUGAAUUAUUUCUCAAGGUUGACCUCGGAUCAGGUAGGGAUACCCGCUGAACUUAAGCAUAUCAAUAAGCGGAGGAA